rnacentral:rRNA from 1 species
AAAAAAGGUAAGCUACUAAGAGCGAAUGGUGGAUGCCUUGACUGGUAAAGGCGAUGAAGGACGUACUAGACUGCGAUAAGCUACGGGGAGCUGUCAAGAAGCUUUGAUCCGUAGAUUUCCGAAUGGGGCAACCCAAUGUAUAGAGAUAUACAUUACCUAUAUAGGAGCGAACGAGGGGAAUUGAAACAUCUUAGUACCCUCAGGAAAAGAAAUCAAUAGAGAUUGCGUCAGUAGCGGCGAGCGAAAGCGCAAGAGGGCAAACCCAGUGCUUGCACUGGGGGUUGUAGGACUGCAAUGUGCAAGAGGUAAGUUUAGCAGAACAUUCUGGAAAGUAUAACCAUAGAGGGUGAUAGUCCCGUAUGCGAAAAACAAACCUUAGCUAGCAGUAUCCUGAGUAGGGCGGGACACGAGGAAUCCUGUCUGAAUCCGGGUCGACCACGAUCCAACCCUAAAUACUAAUACCAGAUCGAUAGUGCACAAGUACCGUGAGGGAAAGGUGAAAAGAACUGAGGUGAUCAGAGUGAAAUAGAACCUGAAACCAUUUGCUUACAAUCAUUCAGAGCCCUAUGUAGCAAUACAGGGUGAUGGACUGCCUUUUGCAUAAUGAGCCUGCGAGUUGUGGUGUCUGGCAAGGUUAAGCAAACGCGAAGCCGUAGCGAAAGCGAGUCUGAAUAGGGCGCUUAGUCAGAUGCUGCAGACCCGAAACGAAGUGAUCUAUCCAUGAGCAAGUUGAAGCUAGUGUAAGAACUAGUGGAGGACUGAACCCAUAGGCGUUGAAAAGCCCCGGGAUGACUUGUGGAUAGGGGUGAAAGGCCAAUCAAACUUCGUGAUAGCUGGUUCUCUCCGAAAUAUAUUUAGGUAUAGCGUUGUGUCGUAAUAUAAGGGGGUAGAGCACUGAAUGGGCUAGGGCAUACACCAAUGUACCAAACCCUAUCAAACUCCGAAUACCUUAUAUGUAAUCACAGCAGUCAGGCGGCGAGUGAUAAAAUCCGUCGUCAAGAGGGAAACAACCCAGACUACCAGCUAAGGUCCCUAAAUCUUACUUAAGUGGAAAACGAUGUGAAGUUACUUAAACAACCAGGAGGUUGGCUUAGAAGCAGCCAUCCUUUAAAGAAAGCGUAAUAGCUCACUGGUCUAGUGAUUUUGCGCGGAAAAUAUAACGGGGCUAAAGUAAGUACCGAAGCUGUAGACUUGCACACAACUUAGAUUAUUUAAGUUUAGAAUAUGAGAAACUAAGUUAUAUGUUUAGUUAUAUUUUUACUGAUUUUUAUAGAGUAAAGAUAGAAAUAAAACUUAGUAAAAUCAGUAAAAAUAUUCUUAGACUAAAGUUAAGUAGUUUAAGUUGUGUGCAAGUGGUAGGAGAGCGUUCUAUUUGCGUCGAAGGUAUACCGGUAAGGAGUGCUGGAGCGAAUAGAAGUGAGCAUGCAGGCAUGAGUAGCGAUAAUUAAUGUGAGAAUCAUUAACGCCGUAAACCCAAGGUUUCCUACGCGAUGCUCGUCAUCGUAGGGUUAGUCGGGUCCUAAGUCGAGUCCGAAAGGGGUAGACGAUGGCAAAUUGGUUAAUAUUCCAAUACCAACAUUAGUGUGCGAUGGAAGGACGCUUAGGGCUAAGGGGGCUAGCGGAUGGAAGUGCUAGUCUAAGGUCGUAGGAGGUUAUACAGGCAAAUCCGUAUAACAAUACUCCGAGAACUGAAAGGCUUUUUGAAGUCUUCGGAUGGAUAGAAGAACCCCUGAUGCCGUCGAGCCAAGAAAAGUUUCUAAGUUUAGCUAAUGUUGCCCGUACCGUAAACCGACACAGGUGGGUGGGAUGAGUAUUCUAAGGCGCGUGGAAGAACUCUCUUUAAGGAACUCUGCAAAAUAGCACCGUAUCUUCGGUAUAAGGUGUGGUUAGCUUUGUAUUAGGAUUUACUCCGAAAGCAAGGAAACUUACAACAAAGAGUCCCUCCCGACUGUUUACCAAAAACACAGCACUCUGCUAACUCGUAAGAGGAUGUAUAGGGUGUGACGCCUGCCCGGUGCUCGAAGGUUAAUUGAUGGGGUUAGCAUUAGCGAAGCUCUUGAUCGAAGCCCGAGUAAACGGCGGCCGUAACUAUAACGGUCCUAAGGUAGCGAAAUUCCUUGUCGGUUAAAUACCGACCUGCAUGAAUGGCGUAACGAGAUGGGAGCUGUCUCAAAGAGGGAUCCAGUGAAAUUGUAGUGGAGGUGAAAAUUCCUCCUACCCGCGGCAAGACGGAAAGACCCCGUGGACCUUUACUACAGCUUGACACUGCUACUUGGAUAAGAAUGUGCAGGAUAGGUGGGAGGCUUUGAGUAUAUGACGCCAGUUGUAUAUGAGCCAUUGUUGAGAUACCACUCUUUCUUAUUUGGGUAGCUAACCAGCUUGAGUUAUCCUCAAGUGGGACAAUGUCUGGUGGGUAGUUUGACUGGGGCGGUCGCCUCCCAAAUAAUAACGGAGGCUUACAAAGGUUGGCUCAGAACGGUUGGAAAUCGUUCGUAGAGUAUAAAGGUAUAAGCCAGCUUAACUGCAAGACAUACAAGUCAAGCAGAGACGAAAGUCGGUCUUAGUGAUCCGGUGGUUCUGUGUGGAAGGGCCAUCGCUCAAAGGAUAAAAGGUACCCCGGGGAUAACAGGCUGAUCUCCCCCAAGAGCUCACAUCGACGGGGAGGUUUGGCACCUCGAUGUCGGCUCAUCGCAUCCUGGGGCUGGAGCAGGUCCCAAGGGUAUGGCUGUUCGCCAUUUAAAGCGGUACGCGAGCUGGGUUCAGAACGUCGUGAGACAGUUCGGUCCCUAUCUGCCGUGGGCGUAAGAAGAUUGAAGAGAUUUGACCCUAGUACGAGAGGACCGGGUUGAACAAACCACUGGUGUAGCUGUUGUUCUGCCAAGAGCAUCGCAGCGUAGCUAAGUUUGGAAAGGAUAAACGCUGAAAGCAUCUAAGCGUGAAGCCAACUCUAAGAUGAAUCUUCUCUAAGCUCUCUAGAAGACUACUAGUUUGAUAGGCUGGGUGUGUAAUGGAUGAAAGUCUUUUAGCUGACCAGUACUAAUAGAGCGUUUGGCUUAUCUUUAAUAAAGCAU